ensembl:lncRNA
CACCUAUAUGGGGAGACCAGUGCCUCAACCCCGACCCACCCUUCCCAACCUCUUGGUCACUGGGACUCAGGCUUCCUUCUCUGAAACGUUGAUCACCUCCCUGCUCAGCUUCCCUCGGGCACAGAGAGUUUGUCCUGUACAGUGAAAUCCUCAAUUACAGAUCUCCUGUCCGCUAUUGUUUUUCUUUGUUUCCUGGGUGCUGGGAGGGUUGGAGCACAGUGGUUUCCGGGCCAGGCUGCCAGGGUGCAGCCGUCACUCCGCACUUGCUGCUGUGUUACCAGGAGGUAGCGUGGCCUCCCCUCUCUCUCAGUUACCUGAUCUGUAAAAUGGGCUUGAUGGUAGAAGUGCCCAUCUCAUAGGGUCCAUGUCCAGCUUGAACGUCAAACGCGUAAACUGCUGGGGACCUACAGGGUCUAUGCCUGGUCUCAGGCUUAAUUUUCUCCUCCACCUGCUCGCAGAGGGCUCACUCUGAUGCCCGCCACCAGCCCCUGCGUGUGGAACAGCUGAGCCGUGGGAAGUCGGCCCCAGGCGUGCAUGGCCACCAUGCAGGAAAUAAGAACUUCCUCUCAGGGGUGUGUGGAGAUGAGACGACGUGUGUGAAGAGCCUGCUGGUCAUCUCACAGGCACAGAGACUACGACAGGGAUUGAAGCCACACAGCAGGCGGAGCUGAGGAGGGACGAAGACUCCCGCUUGGUAACUUUAGCAAGAGGUGACAAAGUGCGGGGCUGUGCCUGAGUCAGGCUGACGGCCUGCAGCUUAGCCCUGCCACUCACAAGCUCAGUGACCUGAGGCAGCUUCCUAAGUUUCUCUGUGCCUCAUGUUCUCCAUCUGUAAAAUACAGAUUAUAAUAGUGCACCGGUCCCCGUAGGGUUGCUGGAAGGAGUUAAUUUGUGUCCAGUGCUUGGAAGGGUGCCUGUAUGGAGCACCGAGAAAAUAGUUCAGGUAGUGCUGUGGGACCCUGAGUAAGUCCCUUCCCUCUCUGGGCCUCUGCUUCACCCCCUGUAAAACGAACCAUUAGGCUAGUUCAGCCGGAGGUUCCUUCCUUCCGGCUUUGACGUCCGUCAUUCUGGGGAGUGGAGGCACGGUCCCCAGAACCCUGCUCCCACUGUUUCUGCCCUCACACCCGUGAAGGCAGGGCCCCUCUUCAGCCCCGUCUACCCUUCUCCUCUCCCCUCUUCCGGAGAGACGCCAGAGGAGGGGGCAGUGUUGGCGGUGCAGGAGCAGCGAGGUGGCCCAGGCUGGGGCAGUGGGAGGGGAUAGACCCCUCCGACCAGCCCUCUUUCCAGUUCCCACUGCCCUCCGUGCCCCGGGGGUGGGCAGGCCCCUGCUCCCCUCUGACCCGGGGGGCGCCCACCGAGGCAGGGCUGGCUUGCCCUCUCCAUCAGGAGGGAGGAACCCCCAGGGGAGUGCCCUCCUUGGCUCAGCAGAGUCAGGCAGGCUUUGCCCAAGAAUGAAGACAGCGGAGACCAGGAACCGAGCCCUGACAGCUAGGGGGCCUCAGGCUGGGGGACCCCCGAUUCUCUGGGCCUGUCUUGGGGUCUGAGCACAGACUGGGCCAUGUCUCGGGCCCUCCUGGACCUGGUGACACAGAGGUCACAACCCAGGGAGGUAAGAGCUCAAAGUUCUCGACUGGAAACCCCGGACCAGGAAGCAAAUGCUACUCUCCGUCAGCCCUCCCCUGACCCUCCUCCCCGCACCUGCGGCCAUUGUUUCCAAGGAAAUCAGGCCUCAACCAGGAGGAGGGAGCCUCCCUUCCACCCUCCCCACACCCUCUGCCCUCCCCAGGGACGUUCCCAGGCCUCCCUCAGCCCCGCGCCAUUUCCUUCCCACUCCCUGGCUGGUGCCCCCAGCUGCCCCUCGGUCCAUCUUUCCAUCCAUCCAUCAAUCCCUUUAUUCCGUGCAUAGCUUUUUGCUAGACACUGCACUCGAGGCCAAGGAGGCCUAGAAAAUCUGACACAGCUUCUGUCUCUAUGAACUCCCUGCUCAGGGCGGGAGACGAGAAGCAGGACUUCUCCCAGGGCCGAUCCCAGAGCCCCCGACACUGGCAGGAUCGGGGAAGCUUCUCAGGGGAGCUGAUGCCCGUGCUGGAUUCAGUGAGUCAGCAUGAGGGCACGUGGAGAAGUCUGGAAGCAAGUCUGUCAGCCCCCGAGCGCAGGGCCUGUUGCACUCGCUGUUGGUCACUAGUGUCUGGAACAGCGUGACGUGCAACCGGUGCUCCGUGUGUGUGUUGUGUGCUUAGUCGUGUCUGACUCUGUGUGACCCCAUAGACUGCAGCCCACCAGGCCCCUCCGUCCACAGGAUUCUCCAGGCAAGAGCACUGGAGUGGGCUGCCACUUCCUGCUCUGGUGCUCAGCAGGUGUUGGAACAAGUCACAGUGUUUGGGGACAGCGUCCCACGGCUCUUGAAGCUGAAGCAGCCACUGUGCCUGUGAGCUGAAGCAUCGUGGGCGCUAGGGGACAGGACCACGUGGAGCCUCCGGGGCCCCAGAGACCCCCACACACUUGCUCUGAGGGCAGUAGGGGGCCACGGGGGCCAUAAGCGGCCCAGGGACACCCGCCUCACCCUCCGUUCCCUUCCCCAAUCUAAUCCUCUGAUCAGCCCUGUUGCAGCUGCCCUUUCUCUCAGCCAAGUCCAUAUCAUCUGGUGAUCUGUGGAAAUAAGCACAUGUUAAGCACCUACUGCAUACCAGAUGUCUUGUUGGGAGCUGGAGAUGAACAGUCCUGCCCACACAUUACCCACAGUCCAGGGCUGAGACUCUUCAUAAGUAUAGUUGAUUUAUGACGUCGUGUUAGUUUCCGGUAUACAGCAGCGUGAUUCAGUUUACAUAUAUGUGUUCUUUUUCAUAUUCUUUCCAUUAUGGCUUAUUACAGGAUAGCGGCCACAGUCCCCUGUGCUAUGCAGUAGGGCCUUGCUGUAUCUGUUUUAUACGUAGUAGUUUAGAUCUUCUAAUCCAAAACUCCUACUUUGUCCCUCCCACACCCUCUUUGGUCUUUUGUUACCGGAAAUUACCACAGAACUCACAGUUCAUGCCUGUGAGGCUGUUUCUGUUCCAUAAAUAAGGUCAUUUGCUACCUAUUGUAGAUUCUGCAUACAAGUGGUAUUAUAGGUUUAUCUUCCUCUUUCUGAUUUCCUUCACUCGGUAUGAUCAUCUCUAGGUCCAGCCAUGUCGUUGCAGAUGGCAUUAUUUCAUUCUUUCUAUGGUGAGUAAAUGGAAAAGAAAAUGGCAACACACGCCAGUAUUCUUGCCUGGUGGAUUCCAUAGACGGAGAAGCCUGGCAGGCUACAGUCCAUGGGGUUGCAAAGAGUCAGACGUGACUGAGCUCAUAGGACAGGACAUGGUGAGCAAUAUUCCACUGCGUAUACACAUCUUCUUCAUCCAUUCAUCUGUCGAUGCAUGUUUGGGUUGCUUCCGUGUCUUGGCUAUUGUAAUUAGUGCUGCAGUGAACAUAAGGGUGCAGGUGUCUUUUUGAAUUAGUUUUCUUGGCAUAUAUACCCAGGAGUGGGAUUGUUGGGUCAUAUGGCAACUCUGUUCCUAGAAGGAUGGGGCCUCUUAAUUUGGGGUUCAUGGGGAGGCUGCAGGGGGUCUGUGAGCCCCUGGAAUUGUGUGUGUAUUCUCAAGUAGAUUCUCAAGAGUGACCAGCUCCCCUCACAGGUCAAGACCCACGUGUGUAUGGAAGAAGGUUGCUUCCCCAGCAUUGUGUCUGAACUCUGCUGAGAGAGGUUAGGCCUCAGGACCUUAACCUGACCCUGACUCUGCCCAGGACCCCAGACCCUCCCAACCCUACGUCAAGUUGCUGGCCAUUCCUGGCAGCAGGCGAGGGCCCCGAGCACUUCCUGCCUGGUGGUGCGGCUGCCCGGCAGGGGUGUGCCACCCACAGUCCCAGCCCCUGGAGCAGCUUCAGCUGUAUCAGCUUAGGAUGGUUCUGGGAACUCUGCAGCUGCCACUGUAUCUGGGAAGUCACCAUGGGGGAGGGGCAGGACUCAGGUCAAGGCCUGGGCAGCAGGAUCUGAGGGUCAGAUCCACACUCAGGGGCUCCCUGAGUGCAGCAGCUGGCAAAGGGGCAUCUUUCAAGGCCGAGUCCUGCCUCAGGCUCCUCCCACCCCUCCCCCUGCGCUCUCAGAAAUGUUGUGUGUUUUUCCCUCCAUAUCCCUUUGCCCCUUUUAGCAUCUUCAUUCAUUCAUUCACUUGUUCAUUUCCUUCAUUUAUUCUUGGGCUCCCAGAAGGAGGAUCAGAGAAUGGCUGGGGAGCACCAGGCUCUUGCAUCACCAAGCUGGGCUAGAGGGGGCUCGCAGGGGGUGGGGGGAGGGGAGAAGAGGCCCGCAGAGAGCAUGGGGCUUCCCCAGACAUCAGAGGUGGGGCUCUGCAGGGAGCUGGGGGCUGAGCCCAUGGCUGUAACCCCCUGAGCUGAACUACAGAACGUGGCAGGGGUGGGGUGGGGGUCAUGGGGAGACUAGUCAUCAGGGGCUCUGGAGCCCAGAACAGGAAGUCAACUGGAAAAAUGUAUCCAACGAAUCUCCAGCAUCAGUGGACAGGAUGUACUGAAUCCUCAGUUGUGCCUCCAUUUCCUCAGCUGUAAAAUGGGGACAUGUUGGGAUCAAACGUCUGGGAGGGGGACUUCCCUGGUGGUCCAGAGGUUAAGAAUCCGCCUGUCAAUGCAGGGGACAUGGGUUCAGUCCCUAGUCUAGGAAGAUCCCCUGUGACAUGGGGCAACUGAGCUGCUGCACCACAGCUACUGCGCUCACACUCCCAGAGCCCAAGAGCCACAGCCACGGAAGCCCAUGUGCCCCGGAGUCCACGCUCCACAGCAAGAGAAGCCGCCACAGUGAGGAGCCCGAGCGUCCCAACUGGACACCAGCCCCCACUCACCACAGCUAGAGAAAGCCUGUGCGCAGCAGUGAAGACGCACAGCAGCCAAAAAUAAAAUAUAAAUAUAUAAAAUUGAAAAAAAUUUCAGUACAGGGGGAUUAAUGUGAGAAAUACGUGAAUAAUUCAGUAGCAUGGCUGGUAAAAACCUUGACCCUGGGUUAGCAGUUGGGUCCUUGUGUUCAUUACAUGAUUAAUAACCGAGAGGGUCUAGGGUGAGCGUGGGUCAUAAACUCAGGAUUAUGGUCAAUCCAAUUAACAAGGGUCCUAAAGACAGCCUCUCAAGUGCUUGACACCUGCUCAAUGCUCCCUAACCCUGGCCACCAUCUAGGUGAGAGAGACUGAGGUCCCCACUGGGAGAACCUUCCACUGUCGACAGGUCCGGGCUGAGUGCCAGGCACUCGCACAUUCUCUCGUUUGCUCCUUACAACAUCCCUUUGAAGAAAUUCUCGCUCCCCUUUCAGUGAGAAGAGAAACCGAGAGGCUGGGUGGGAAACUGACCUGCCCAAGGUCUCACAGCCAGCAGCAGCAGAGCUGGGACUUAAACUUGGUUUCCAGACUCUGCUCCUCCCAGAUGCUUCUGCAGCACCAUAAAAAUGGCGCCCGAGGGUCUCUGGACCCUGCCCCCACCACCCCAGGGCCCUGAGCCCCCUCAGUUCCGCUUUCUCAUCCGUUUCCUUAGAGCCUGUCGGGCCUCAGCCAGGCCCCGGGGUCCGCCCCUCCUGGACUGGCUGGGCGCUGUGCGGGUGGUCUGCGUGCCGCCCCUCCUUCCCUCCAGGCCACUCACCCUUCACCCCAGGAGCACGAGUGUGUGUCCUGAGGGAGCGCGGAGGCUAGUGGGGCUCCUCCUGGAAGGACUCACCCUCCAGGUCGGGCCAUUGUGGACCUGGACAUCCAGGGUCAGUGGAGAGCAGGGCUGGCGAGGGAGCCAGAGGCCCCCGGGCACUGGGCCGUCCCCACCACGUUGGCAUCCACAUACACCCGCGCCGGGCCGAGCCCUGACCCUCAGCUCAAACUCCACCCGGCGGGCCCCUGGUCUACAAAAGGCAGAGUCAGAGGGCUCCAGGCUCAGCCCCAAACUGUCUGGCAGGGGCCUACUGUCCUGCCCAGGGCCCCGGCACGGCCCCAGGCCAGGGAGCACGGGAAUGCGGAGAAAGGUCCCGGCUGGGCUCAAACUGCUGCUGGCCCUGCUGCCACGGUGCUCUGUGACCUUCGGCAUUUCAUCGCCCUCUCUGAGCCUCAGUAAAAAGGGAUCUCGGAGGACUGGCUGACCUCGCUCCUCUUCCUGGCUCUGCCCUCCUGUGGGAUUCUAACCCCAGGGAGAGAGUUGGAAGCCUUCCGGUCUUGACUCAAACAUCACCUUCUCAGACUCUCCCCGACCCCUCACCCCCUUUCACACACACACUUAUAAUUGCCCAACACUCCCCAUCCUACACCCUUGCUUCGUUUCUGCCCCACUGCAGGGGUCAUCACCUGCGGACACACUCUCUUACCUACUUAUUUGUGUUUAUUUACUGUCUCCCCAGCUCCAGGGUCAGCUCCGUGGGGGAGUGAGGUUGGUGUGUUCCUUCCGCUGGCAGCAGGUGCUCAGCAAACAAACAUUUGCCGAGGGUGUGACGGGGGUCGGCGUGCAACAGAGCGAGCGGAGGAAGGAAGGCAGCCUCCCGGAUCCCCCCUCUGCCCCGCUCGGAAAGCGCGGCCCUGAUAAGAGUGUAAACCAACCAGAGUUCGCUGCCGUAUCCCGGGGAGCCCUGCCUGGCCCACAGUAGGCCUGCAGCCCACAUGUGUGCAGUGAAUAGUUUCGGAUGGCCCGGGGCCAGGCUGUGUCUUGGGUCAUCACCCUGCUCUACCAUCGCCGGGGCCUGGUGGGGGAGAAGCGGAUGUUUCACGUGUAUAUACGUGUCUGUGUGUCGCCUGUGUGUGUAGCCUCUCUGACCCCCAGGGAGGCCUGCAAGUUUCCCCAGGCUUGGAGCCCAUCUUUGGCAGGAGCCCUGUGUGACUCGGUUUCCAGGGAAGCUCUUGAGAGCUAUGCGGGGUCCUGGGGUGGAGUGAGGCUUCCUCAGCUGCGUCCCAGGUGUGAAUCGGUGAUGGGGUGGAUGGAUGAGGCUAUAGACAAGAGUGUGUCAGGGGGUGGGCCCCACAGACCUUAGACACAGGGGAGACUGGUCCAUCUGCUCAGCCUCCGUUCACGGGAGAAGGUCUGGGGAGGAGGAGGGAUGGCACUGAUGAGGAAAAGCCUUUGGCGUCUCCUGUCGGUUUUUCCCAGAGUGGAGAGGGUCACGCAUACAGUAGGUGUUCAUGAAACCAGUGAUCAUAGAUGGCUAGCCUUGGAAGAGAUGCUGGAGGUAACCUGGGCCCUCCGAGGCCACCAGGCCUUGCACUCCUCCAGGACAGACUGUGCCCAGCCACCCUGCCCCUCGCACACGUACAGGGCCUGGCACAGAGUAGGUGCUCAGUGAAUGCCUGCUGGCCUGCCUGGAGCACCAUGUCACCACGCGGGGGCCUUGCAUGCUCCAGGCGGUGGGAAUCCUUGGAUGCGUGGGCCUGAGGACACGGCGCCCCCGCAGCUGACCCCAGUCUAUUUCUAGGCCUCUGGCCCCCCAUCCAGCUUCAGUAUGUGUCCUGGGAAGAGAAUGCCGACAGACGCGGCCCAAAUUCUGCCUCUGCCGCUUGCCAGCCUUGACUUUGGAGCUUGUGAGAAGGUCAGGGAAGCCCCCAGGUGCUUCUCGGUGAGAUGAAAUAGCGCAUAAGCACGCUUGGGGUCUGGACUCAGAUGCCACCCUAGUAUGUGUCCUUAAACCUGUUCCCUAGCCUCUCUGGUCUCGGGGGCUUCCUCUGGACAGCACAGGCUGCCUGGUCUCCGGGUCCCAUAAACCAGGCUUCCUGCCCACCCUGCCCUCACUGGGUGACCCCAUUUGGGUGACCAACCUAGACUCUUCAGUAAGGGAGCCCCUCCCCCAGCCAUUUCCCUUCUCAUAGCGGGAGCCUGGGUCAGGGCAGGGCCUGGUGUCAGCCAGGCGGGGGAGGGCAAGGACCACUGGCAACCCUGUCUUUCUGUGGCUGACACGGGUCCUCGCUUUCUCCUCACUGUCACUCCCAGCCUACAGCUCCUAGGAGAGCGGGACCCAAGGGCAUGGGAGCAGCAGUCUAUUGACCAACAGACCAACAGACAGAGACAGACCGCCCACCCUUUCCAAAGUACAUCCACUUCCUUUGUCAACUUUUCAUCACUCAUCACAAGGCCCCGCCAGCAGGAUCAGCUGGGCAAGGCAUUUUAACCUCUGGGCCUCAGUUUCUUCACCUGGAAAAUGGGCACAGCUUCCCUGUUGGCUCAGAUGGUAAAGAAACUGCCUGCAGUGCAGAAGACCUCCGUUGGAUUCCUGAGUUGGGAAGAUUCCCUGGAGAAGGAACAUUUUAGUUUUCUUGUCCACUCUGGUUUUCUUGCCUGGCGGGCUACAGUCCAAAGGGUCGCAAAGAGCUGGACACGACUGAGUGACUAACACGGACUAACUAAUGCCCCAGCUCUGAGAGUUCCUCAGAGACGGGGAAGGGGAGUUCGGUCGGUUCCAGCCAAAGUCGCAAAGGUGGAAGGUGACAGAACUAGGGUGUGUAUUUGGGUCAAACCCUGAGCUGGUGUCAGAACUCCCUGCUGGAUGGAUCAAGGUGCGGGUAGCAUGCGUGUUAGCCAGAGGCCCUUAUUUGGCCCUCCCCCACCUGGAGCCCACAGGGAGGUUUGCCCCAGAUGAGCACCCAGCCUGCCUUGAACCCACCACUGACAGCCCCCCAAGCAGCCUCUUAGCACUGCAGUCCAUGUGAGCCCCAGCUAAUGGAUGGAGGGGCCUCUCCUUGCUACCUCUUAGGUCUGUCCAGCCUCCAAAGGCAGCUUUGUUUCCUUAUUCCAGGCCUGGGUGGGUAUAAUCACUGUCCAUUCUCAGCACAGCUUAGCCUGGUCCAUCCACUCAGGCCCACCAUUCCUGGGGACACCUGUGAAGUGCUCCUUUGGGCCCAAGGCAAAGCUGUAUCAGCAUUCAAGGAGCAGCCUUCCCAAGGUCAAGGUUUCCUGUGGUAUGACCAGUUCCCUUCUCUGUGCCACCCAGCAGUGAAAUGCCCUCUCUGGCUGCAAGAGUAUUCUGUCUUCAUCUAUCUACCCAUCUUCUGUUCUGUCUCAUAUAGAAUCAGGCUUGGCUUUGAGUAAUAAAGUC